GUUAUAACCGGCGAUUUCCGAAUGGGGAAACCCAGUGUGAUUCGUCACACUAUCAUUAACUGAAUCCAUAGGUUAAUGAGGCGAACCGGGGGAACUGAAACAUCUAAGUACCCCGAGGAAAAGAAAUCAACCGAGAUUCCCCCAGUAGCGGCGAGCGAACGGGGAGGAGCCCAGAGCCUGAAUCAGUGUGUGUGUUAGUGGAAGCGUCUGGAAAGGCGCGCGAUACAGGGUGACAGCCCCGUACACAAAAAUGCACAUGCUGUGAGCUCGAUGAGUAGGGCGGGACACGUGGUAUCCUGUCUGAAUAUGGGGGGACCAUCCUCCAAGGCUAAAUACUCCUGACUGACCGAUAGUGAACCAGUACCGUGAGGGAAAGGCGAAAAGAACCCCGGCGAGGGGAGUGAAAAAGAACCUGAAACCGUGUACGUACAAGCAGUGGGAGCACAGAGCAAUCUGUGUGACUGCGUACCUUUUGUAUAAUGGGUCAGCGACUUAUAUUCUGUAGCAAGGUUAACCGAAUAGGGGAGCCGAAGGGAAACCGAGUCUUAACUGGGCGUUAAGUUGCAGGGUAUAGACCCGAAACCCGGUGAUCUAGCCAUGGGCAGGUUGAAGGUUGGGUAACACUAACUGGAGGACCGAACCGACUAAUGUUGAAAAAUUAGCGGAUGACUUGUGGCUGGGGGUGAAAGGCCAAUCAAACCGGGAGAUAGCUGGUUCUCCCCGAAAGCUAUUUAGGUAGCGCCUCGUGAAUUCAUCUCCGGGGGUAGAGCACUGUUUCGGCAAGGGGGUCAUCCCGACUUACCAACCCGAUGCAAACUGCGAAUACCGGAGAAUGUUAUCACGGGAGACACACGGCGGGUGCUAACGUCCGUCGUGAAGAGGGAAACAACCCAGACCGCCAGCUAAGGUCCCAAAGUCAUGGUUAAGUGGGAAACGAUGUGGGAAGGCCCAGACAGCCAGGAUGUUGGCUUAGAAGCAGCCAUCAUUUAAAGAAAGCGUAAUAGCUCACUGGUCGAGUCGGCCUGCGCGGAAGAUGUAACGGGGCUAAACCAUGCACCGAAGCUGCGGCAGCGACACUAUGUGUUGUUGGGUAGGGGAGCGUUCUGUAAGCCUGUGAAGGUGUGCUGUGAGGCAUGCUGGAGGUAUCAGAAGUGCGAAUGCUGACAUAAGUAACGAUAAAGCGGGUGAAAAGCCCGCUCGCCGGAAGACCAAGGGUUCCUGUCCAACGUUAAUCGGGGCAGGGUGAGUCGACCCCUAAGGCGAGGCCGAAAGGCGUAGUCGAUGGGAAACAGGUUAAUAUUCCUGUACUUGGUGUUACUGCGAAGGGGGGACGGAGAAGGCUAUGUUGGCCGGGCGACGGUUGUCCCGGUUUAAGCGUGUAGGCUGGUUUUCCAGGCAAAUCCGGAAAAUCAAGGCUGAGGCGUGAUGACGAGGCACUACGGUGCUGAAGCAACAAAUGCCCUGCUUCCAGGAAAAGCCUCUAAGCAUCAGGUAACAUCAAAUCGUACCCCAAACCGACACAGGUGGUCAGGUAGAGAAUACCAAGGCGCUUGAGAGAACUCGGGUGAAGGAACUAGGCAAAAUGGUGCCGUAACUUCGGGAGAAGGCACGCUGAUAUGUAGGUGAAGCGACUUGCUCGUGGAGCUGAAAUCAGUCGAAGAUACCAGCUGGCUGCAACUGUUUAUUAAAAACACAGCACUGUGCAAACACGAAAGUGGACGUAUACGGUGUGACGCCUGCCCGGUGCCGGAAGGUUAAUUGAUGGGGUCAGCGCAAGCGAAGCUCUUGAUCGAAGCCCCGGUAAACGGCGGCCGUAACUAUAACGGUCCUAAGGUAGCGAAAUUCCUUGUCGGGUAAGUUCCGACCUGCACGAAUGGCGUAAUGAUGGCCAGGCUGUCUCCACCCGAGACUCAGUGAAAUUGAACUCGCUGUGAAGAUGCAGUGUACCCGCGGCAAGACGGAAAGACCCCGUGAACCUUUACUAUAGCUUGACACUGAACAUUGAGCCUUGAUGUGUAGGAUAGGUGGGAGGCUUUGAAGUGUGGACGCCAGUCUGCAUGGAGCCGACCUUGAAAUACCACCCUUUAAUGUUUGAUGUUCUAACGUUGACCCGUAAUCCGGGUUGCGGACAGUGUCUGGUGGGUAGUUUGACUGGGGCGGUCUCCUCCUAAAGAGUAACGGAGGAGCACGAAGGUUGGCUAAUCCUGGUCGGACAUCAGGAGGUUAGUGCAAUGGCAUAAGCCAGCUUGACUGCGAGCGUGACGGCGCGAGCAGGUGCGAAAGCAGGUCAUAGUGAUCCGGUGGUUCUGAAUGGAAGGGCCAUCGCUCAACGGAUAAAAGGUACUCCGGGGAUAACAGGCUGAUACCGCCCAAGAGUUCAUAUCGACGGCGGUGUUUGGCACCUCGAUGUCGGCUCAUCACAUCCUGGGGCUGAAGUAGGUCCCAAGGGUAUGGCUGUUCGCCAUUUAAAGUGGUACGCGAGCUGGGUUUAGAACGUCGUGAGACAGUUCGGUCCCUAUCUGCCGUGGGCGCUGGAGAACUGAGGGGGGCUGCUCCUAGUACGAGAGGACCGGAGUGGACGCAUCACUGGUGUUCGGGUUGUCAUGCCAAUGGCACUGCCCGGUAGCUAAAUGCGGAAGAGAUAAGUGCUGAAAGCAUCUAAGCACGAAACUUGCCCCGAGAUGAGUUCUCCCUGACUCCUUGAGAGUCCUGAAGGAACGUUGAAGACGACGACGUUGAUAGGCCGGGUGUGUAAGCGCAGCGAUGCGUUGAGCUAACCGGUACUAAUGAACCGUGAGGCUUAACCUUACAACGCCGAAGGUGUUU
rnacentral:rRNA from 1 species